UACGUAGGUGGCAAGCGUUGUCCGGAUUUACUGGGUGUAAAGGGCGUGCAGCCGGGAAGACAAGUCAGAUGUGAAAUCCCGCGGCUCAACCGCGGAACUGCAUUUGAAACUGUUUUUCUUGAGUACCGGAGAGGUCAUCGGAAUUCCUUGUGUAGCGGUGAAAUGCGUAGAUAUAAGGAAGAACACCAGUGGCGAAGGCGGAUGACUGGACGGCAACUGACGGUGAGGCGCGAAAGCGUGGGGAGCAGACAGG
rnacentral:rRNA from 1 species